GACGAACGCUGGCGGCGUGCCUAAUACAUGCAAGUAGAACGCUGAAGAGAGGAGCUUGCUCUUCUUGGAUGAGUUGCGAACGGGUGAGUAACGCGUAGGUAACCUGCCUUGUAGCGGGGGAUAACUAUUGGAAACGAUAGCUAAUACCGCAUAACAAUGGAUGACACAUGUCAUUUAUUUGAAAGGGGCAAAUGCUCCACUACAAGAUGGACCUGCGUUGUAUUAGCUAGUAGGUGAGGUAACGGCUCACCUAGGCGACGAUACAUAGCCGACCUGAGAGGGUGAUCGGCCACACUGGGACUGAGACACGGCCCAGACUCCUACGGGAGGCAGCAGUAGGGAAUCUUCGGCAAUGGGGGCAACCCUGACCGAGCAACGCCGCGUGAGUGAAGAAGGUUUUCGGAUCGUAAAGCUCUGUUGUAAGUCAAGAACGAGUGUGAGAGUGGAAAGUUCACACUGUGACGGUAGCUUACCAGAAAGGGACGGCUAACUACGUGCCAGCAGCCGCGGUAAUACGUAGGUCCCGAGCGUUGUCCGGAUUUAUUGGGCGUAAAGCGAGCGCAGGCGGUUUGAUAAGUCUGAAGUUAAAGGCUGUGGCUCAACCAUAGUUCGCUUUGGAAACUGUCAAACUUGAGUGCAGAAGGGGAGAGUGGAAUUCCAUGUGUAGCGGUGAAAUGCGUAGAUAUAUGGAGGAACACCGGUGGCGAAAGCGGCUCUCUGGUCUGUAACUGACGCUGAGGCUCGAAAGCGUGGGGAGCGAACAGGAUUAGAUACCCUGGUAGUCCACGCCGUAAACGAUGAGUGCUAGGUGUUGGAUCCUUUCCGGGAUUCAGUGCCGCAGCUAACGCAUUAAGCACUCCGCCUGGGGAGUACGACCGCAAGGUUGAAACUCAAAGGAAUUGACGGGGGCCCGCACAAGCGGUGGAGCAUGUGGUUUAAUUCGAAGCAACGCGAAGAACCUUACCAGGUCUUGACAUCCCGAUGCUAUUUCUAGAGAUAGAAAGUUACUUCGGUACAUCGGUGACAGGUGGUGCAUGGUUGUCGUCAGCUCGUGUCGUGAGAUGUUGGGUUAAGUCCCGCAACGAGCGCAACCCCUAUUGUUAGUUGCCAUCAUUCAGUUGGGCACUCUAGCGAGACUGCCGGUAAUAAACCGGAGGAAGGUGGGGAUGACGUCAAAUCAUCAUGCCCCUUAUGACCUGGGCUACACACGUGCUACAAUGGUUGGUACAACGAGUUGCGAGUCGGUGACGGCAAGCUAAUCUCUUAAAGCCAAUCUCAGUUCGGAUUGUAGGCUGCAACUCGCCUACAUGAAGUCGGAAUCGCUAAUAAUCGCGGAUCAGCACGCCGCGGUGAAUACGUUCCCGGGCCU
rnacentral:rRNA from 1 species